UUUAAUCUAUAAUAUUUGAAGAUUUAUAUGACUAUAUGAGAAAGCAUUGACUCGUUAGAAUUCUAUAUAAUUAAUGAGGUGGGUUAGGUAAAAAAAAUAAUACUAUUGAAAAGUUUUACCUGUUGCAUUAUGGGAAAUUUUCAUACAUGGCGGAAAAACUAUAAUAUAUUAUUAUUACUAUUAAUACACAUUUUUGAAUGUGUGCAUGUGAUGUGUCUGACCAAGUUAAAUCGGGUACUGUUUCUUCCAGACCUGUAUGUUGACCUUCGUGCUCUCAAGUAUACAAAUCUGUGUGGUGUUCUAAUUCUAUAUCACUAACAUUUGUUUUUUACAUUGUACUUUGCACUAUCGUAUACUUUUUUUUUAAAUUUCUCGCAAGUAUACCUUUUAUGUUAAUGUAAGUUUUUAAAAAUAUGUUUUUAUUAUAAAUAUAUCAAUAUACUACUGGAUACUAAAAU